CAAUAGCGUAUAUUAAAGUUGUUGCAGUUAAAAAGCUCGUAGUUGAAUUUCUGGCGGGCGCGCCGGUCUUCCAAGUGUUGUACUGGGCGCAGUCCGCCAUCCUUGUGGAGAGGGCUCGCAUUGAGUUGCGUGUCGGAUCUGCAUCAUUUACUGUGAAAAAAUUAGAGUGUUUAAAGCAGGCUGUCGCUUGAAUACAUUAGCAUGGAAUAAUGAGAUAGGACUUCGGUCUAUUUUGUUGGUUGCGAACCGAGGUAAUGAUUAAUAGGGAUAGUUGGGGGUAUUCAUAUUUAAUUGUCAGAGGUGAAAUUCUUGGAUUUAUGAAAGAUGAACAACUGCGAANGNAUUUACNAAGGAUGUUUNCAUUA
rnacentral:rRNA from 1 species